GGGGUUAGUAUCUUUUCUGUAAAACAAAUAUUCACGUUUUUGUGCUAUGAUAUUUCAUACAUUAAAUUACACCUUGCAUAUCCACACUUGGUUCAGAACUAACAUCACACCACCAAACACUUCUGACAUUGUCUUUACAGGGAAGAUUUUCUAAUGGCUGGUGUUGAGGCCUUAGCUGAUGACCUAGAUUUGGAUCCUUUUGAAGAAAGAAAGAAUUAAUGACAGAUGUAUUAGGCUCCACAUUUAUCUCUUUAGAAUCAGUACCAUUUCAGGUAAGUUCCAGUAUUUAUCUUUACGUACAACAAAUAUUAUUGUGUUGUCUGUAGUUUCAAAUCCAUGGAUCUAGCUACGGAUGCAGUCCAAAUUGAUGAGGACCAAGCAAACAACUUACUCAACAGUGUGUGAGUUGCAAUGUCUUCUUAUCUAGGGGUGAGCAAUAUAAACGAUAUAAGGUAGAAAUGAUAUAAAAUUGGGUAAUGAUAGUUUUUGGCUAUAUCGCAAUACGGCGAUAUUGUGAUAACACAUGACGUCACUAAGAUGUGCACCCUGCUGACAAUGGGACAACAGAAUGGCGAUGACUGCAAGCAUGGAGUGGGCGGAGGAGGAGGCCUAUAUGCCUCAAGUGGCAUAUAUUUGCCACAUGAGGAUAUGUAAAAGCAUGUCAAUUUGACAUCUAUAAACAGAUGAAAAAAUAUAUCGCAAUAUAUAUCGUUACUGCACAUGCUUCAGAUUAUAUCGCAAUAUAGAUUUGAGGCCAUAUUUCCCAGCCCUAUUCUUAUCUACACUUUUUUUAAACUCCAAAGUCUUAAAACAAUAUAUUAAUUCUACUUUUAUUUAUUGUUUUCAUAACAGAAUAGAACUGUUAUGAAAACUUUGUCAGGCUGACGAAGUUUGCAGCCGCAAACAAAACGUUGCAGGUAAAUAAAACCCUUCUAUGUUUUAAAAAGAACUAAAAGAUGGAAUUGUUGUUUUAUCCUUGUUCACAGGCUGGGAUCCUAAAGGGAAUUUCCAUCCUACUUGUGUGGCUGAAGGACAUCUUCAACCAAUUUUGGUACAUUUGCCAGAAAGCACAACAUCGUGAUAUGUUUAAUGACAUGUGGGUGGGUGUGCUUCACCAUGUCACAGGGAAGCAUGAAUGGACCCGUGGCAAAUGUGACCAUGGACCACUUGAUGCAACGUGGCAUGGUGCCAGGAUCUCCACCACACGAGGCUCUUCAACGAAUCAUGUUCAACAGACACUGGUUGAAGGAUGCCACCAAUCUGACCUUUAGGUAUAUUAAUAACAUUUUCAUAAGCAAAAAAGCUAAAGUGUCAAUAUCAAAGCUGAAAAUUUACAUAUAGAAAUGACAAUUGUGGGUGAAAAGGCAAUCAAAAGAGUGAUUC